GGUGGAUCACCUGAGGCCAGGAGUUCGAGACUAGCCUGGCCAACAUGGUGAAACCCUG
rnacentral:precursor_RNA from 1 species